rnacentral:rRNA from 1 species
CCCCAGUAAACGGCGGCCGUAACUAUAACGGUCCUAAGGUAGCGAAAUUCCUUGUCGGGUAAGUUCCGACCCGCACGAAAGGCGUAACGAUUUGGGCACUGUCUCAACAACAGACUCGGUGAAAUUGUAAUUCCGGUGAAGAUGCCGGAUACCUGCGACAGGACGGAAAGACCCCAUGGAGCUUUACUGUAGCUUGACAUUGGGUCUUGGUACUACAUGUACAGGAUAGGUGGGAGGCUUUGAAACCAGGACGCCAGUUUUGGCGGAGCCAUCCUUGGGAUACCACCCUUGUAGUACUGGGACUCUAACCAUAGGCCAUGAAUCUGGUCUUGGGACACUGUCAGGUGGGCAGUUUGACUGGGGCGGUCGCCUCCCAAAAGGUAACGGAGGCGCUCAAAGGUUCUCUCAGUACGGUCGGAAAUCGUACGUAGAGUGUAAAGGCAAAAGAGAGCUUGAUUGCAAGACAUACAGGUCGAGCAAGGAUGAAAAUCGGACUUAGUGAUCCGGUGGUUCUGCGUGGAAGGGCCAUCGCUCAACGGAUAAAAGCUACCCUGGGGAUAACAGGCUUAUCUCCCCCAAGAGUCCACAUCGACGGGGAGGUUUGGCACCUCGAUGUCGGCUCAUCACAUCCUGGGGCUGUAGUAGGUCCCAAGGGUUGGGCUGUUCGCCCAUUAAAGUGGUACGCGAGCUGGGUUCAGAACGUCGUGAGACAGUUCGGUCCCUAUCCGUCGCAGGCGUAGGAAAUUUGAGAAGACCUGUCCUUAGUACGAGAGGACCGGGAUGGACGUACCUCUGGUGUACCAGUUGUCCUGCCAAGGGCAUGGCUGGGUAGCUAUGUACGGAAUGGAUAAGCGCUGAAAGCAUCUAAGCGCGAAGCCAACUUCAAGAUAAGAUUUCCCACCGCAAGGGUAAGACCCCAGAAAGACUAUCUGGUUGAUAGGUCGAAGGUGUAAGUGCAGCAAUGUAUUUAGCUUAUCGAUACUAAUAGGUCGAGGACUUGACCAA